ensembl:lncRNA
GGAGCGUUCAGGUAGCCUGGAGAAGCUCCUCUGCCCUGUCAGACUCCUGUAAGCCCAUGUGGAAGGAUAUCUCCACCAGCACCCACUUAUCCCUGUUGAGCAGCUUUCUUCUGCCAUGCCCUUCCACCUGCCAUUUCUUCCUUGGAGUCAGCCAACCAUGGAAUGAAUCCUCUGAAAACUGGAAAGAGUUCUUCUCAGAAGCUGGAGAGAACAUUUCUUAAAAGAAGAAUCUGGAUGAACAUCACUAAGGACUUGUCAGAUACCCACAUUCUCCAACCUGCCCCAGCACUCCUCAGAGAGAAACUCUGAGAUGAGAUCCAACAAUCUACAUUUCAGUAAGCCCUCUAUACUCUGGUUCUGGUCCAUACUCACAUUUCAGAACCAUUGCUCCAGGUGUAUGACAAUUCAUUUUCAAACAAUUUGUAGCAAAUCCCAAAAGGUUGCUAUCAAAGUACCCAUUUUGUUUGACUUUUCUCCACAUGUCAACUUAUCUGUUUGAAAUUCACUAUUGCCUACAUAAUAAAAUACAAAUUCCUUAGCUUGGUGAACAAAGACCUUUCAAGCUGGCCUUUACCCAGACUCACCUCCUUAUUAUGCACACCAUGCUGCAGCCCUACUGUGUGCAUCCCUCGUUCCAUGCUAUCUGCAUGCUGGGUGCUCUCCUAGGAUACUUCUUUCAGUUUUCUUCACGUGGCAGACUCCUCUCCUCCUUGGAGACAGAGGUCUGAUAUCACCUUCUUUCUCAAUUUCCC